UUUAUCUUGGUGUAACGAGCACGUAAAUUUUUGGUAUUUAAGGGACUAAAAAGGUGACC
rnacentral:tRNA from 1 species